AGGCGCGUAGCUCAGGGGUAGAGCGCUACCUUGACAUGUUAGAUGUCGGCGGUUCAAAUCCGCCCGUGCCUACCA
rnacentral:tRNA from 1 species